AGAGUUUGAUCCUGGCUCAGGAUGAACGCUGGCGGCGUGCCUAAUACAUGCAAGUCGAGCGAACCACUUCGGUGGUGAGCGGCGAACGGGUGAGUAACACGUAGGUGAUCUGCCCAUCAGACGGGGACAACGAUUGGAAACGAUCGCUAAUACCGGAUAGGACGAAAGUUUAAAGGUGCUCUUGGCACCGCUGAUGGAUGAGCCUGCGGCGCAUUAGCUAGUUGGUAGGGUAAAGGCCUACCAAGGCGACGAUGCGUAGCCGACCUGAGAGGGUGAACGGCCACACUGGGACUGAGACACGGCCCAGACUCCUACGGGAGGCAGCAGUAGGGAAUCUUCGGCAAUGGGCGAAAGCCUGACCGAGCAACGCCGCGUGAAUGAUGAAGGCCUUCGGGUUGUAAAAUUCUGUUAUAAGGGAAGAACGACUUUAGUAGGAAAUGGCUAAAGUGUGACGGUACCUUAUGAGAAAGCCACGGCUAACUACGUGCCAGCAGCCGCGGUAAUACGUAGGUGGCAAGCGUUAUCCGGAAUUAUUGGGCGUAAAGAGCGCGCAGGUGGUUGAUUAAGUCUGAUGUGAAAGCCCACGGCUUAACCGUGGAGGGUCAUUGGAAACUGGUCGACUUGAGUGCAGAAGAGGGAAGUGGAAUUCCAUGUGUAGCGGUGAAAUGCGUAGAGAUAUGGAGGAACACCAGUGGCGAAGGCGGCUUCCUGGUCUGUAACUGACACUGAGGCGCGAAAGCGUGGGGAGCAAACAGGAUUAGAUACCCUGGUAGUCCACGCCGUAAACGAUGAGUGCUAAGUGUUGGGGGUCGAACCUCA
rnacentral:rRNA from 1 species